rnacentral:rRNA from 1 species
UGGGGAAUUUUCCGCAAUGGGCGCAAGCCUGACGGAGCCAGACCGCGUGAGGGAAGAAAGACCUUGGUUCGUAAACCUCUUUUCUCAAGGAAGAAAAUUGACGGUACUUGAGGAAUCAGCAUCGGCUAACUCCGUGCCAGCAGCCGCGGUAAGACGGAGGAUGCAAGCGUUAUCCGGAAUUAUUGGGCGUAAAGCGUCCGCAGGUGGUUGUUCAAGUCUGCUGUCAAAGACCGGAGCUCAACUCCGGAGCGGCAGUGGAAACUGAAGAACUAGAGGAUGGUAGGGGUAGAGGGAAUUCCCAGUGUAGCGGUGAAAUGCGUAGAGAUUGGGAAGAACACCGGUGGCGAAAGCGCUCUACUGGACCAUCCCUGACACUCAGAGGACGAAAGCUAGGGGAGCGAAAGGGAUUAGAUACCCCCGUAGUCC